rnacentral:rRNA from 1 species
GGGCCCGCACAAGCGGUGGAGCAUGUGGUUUAAUUCGAUGCAACGCGAAGAACCUUACCUACUCUUGACAUCCAGAGAAUUCGCUAGAGAUAGCUUAGUGCCUUCGGGAACUCUGAGACAGGUGCUGCAUGGCUGUCGUCAGCUCGUGUUGUGAAAUGUUGGGUUAAGUCCCGCAACGAGCGCAACCCUUAUCCUUGUUUGCCAGCGAGUAAUGUCGGGAACUCCAGGGAGACUGCCGGUGAUAAACCGGAGGAAGGUGGGGACGACGUCAAGUCAUCAUGGCCCUUACGAGUAGGGCUACACACGUGCUACAAUGGCAUAUACAGAGGGCAGCGAGGCCGCGAGGUGGAGCGAAUCCCAGAAAGUAUGUCGUAGUCCGGAUUGGAGUCUGCAACUCGACUCCAUG